CAACCAUCAAGCCCCAGGCUUGUGUUGGGGACCUGCGGCUGCCGCAGGCCCUGAAAACCAGUGGCGGGCUCGCUAGUCACACCGAGCGUAGUAGCAUACACAUCGCUCAGGGCGUGCUGCGGGUUCCGGCCGUUAAACCCCUUUUUUACCCAAGG
rnacentral:misc_RNA from 1 species